rnacentral:rRNA from 1 species
GAUGAACGCUGGCGGCGUGCCUAAUACAUGCAAGUCGAGCGAACAGACGAGGAGCUUGCUCCUCUGACGUUAGCGGCGGACGGGUGAGUAACACGUGGAUAACCUACCUAUAAGACUGGGAUAACUUCGGGAAACCGGAGCUAAUACCGGAUAAUAUAUUGAACCGCAUGGUUCAAUAGUGAAAGACGGUUUUGCUGUCACUUAUAGAUGGAUCCGCGCCGCAUUAGCUAGUUGGUAAGGUAACGGCUUACCAAGGCAACGAUGCGUAGCCGACCUGAGAGGGUGAUCGGCCACACUGGAACUGAGACACGGUCCAGUCUCCUACGGGAGGCAGCAGUAGGGAAUCUUCCGCAAUGGGCGAAAGCCUGACGGGGCAACGCCGCGUGAAUGAUGAAGGUCUUCGGAUCGUAAAACUCUGUUAUUAGGGAAGAACAAAUGUGUAAGUAACUAUGCACGUCUUGACGGUACCUAAUCAGAAAGCCACGGCUAACUACGUG